AGAGGUGGAGAAAGUGAUGAGUGCAGCCUUUGGAGGACAGAGCCAGCGCUUUGAGACCUCGGGCAACCAGGGAGUCCCUCUGAGCUGCAGUUUCUUCAUCUGAAGGAAACGAAGAAAUUGAGGCAGAGGGAAAGUGUUAUUGAGAUUUAAACCCUGACGGUCUGAUUGAAGAGCCUGCAACAUUAACCACUGCACUGCGUGUAAUGCACAACACUGUCUUGAUCACAGUGGCAAUCAGGGAGCUUUACAGUAAGUUUUGAAGUCGAACAGCGUCAGUCCUUCACUUUGCUCUUCUCCUUCAAUAUCAUGUUGGCCGUUCUGCGUCUUUGGCUUCUCCAUAUAAACUUUAGAGUCAGUUGGUUGAAAUCCACAAAACAACUCACUGGGAUUUGGAUUGGACUUGCAUUGACUCUAUAGAUCAAGUUGGGAAGCACCGAGACCUUGACAAUAUUGAGUCUAUCCAUGAACAUUGAACAUCUCUCCAUUUAUU
rnacentral:lncRNA from 1 species